UAAGAGCAAAUUCAGUGUGUAUUCUAAGCACUUGCGUCAUGAUUACGUAAUGACAUUAACAUCCGAUGAUGUCGCGACGUCAUUUAACAACGAAACAACAAAUGACAUAUCCUUUAGCGAUUUUUACCUUGAACAUUGUUUGGCAAGACUGGUGGCCUGUGCCGCUAGCGGAGGCAGCCUCGCGCUUGCGUCUAGAAACAGAAGUUAGGGGCCCAGCUGCAUGCGGCGCUGCGGCUGGAAGAGCCGCGGUGAAGGCUGAGCCGAAGCGGGAAGCGAGUGAGGCUUUGCUGUGGUAAGAAGUGGGUGCGGCCCAGGCUCGUUGAAGGCCUGUUUCUGCGACCCGACGCUCGCGGAAAGCCGGGUUUUGUGCGGUACAAUGAUGGUGUCAAGCGAGACGAGUUCGGGGCUUGCUCAAUCUAUUGGUCGCCUUGGCGGCUGGAGUGGAUUUAGGAGUGAGGUUGGCUGAUUUGCGGGGUGACGAAUAGAUCGUACAAACCCGUUUGUUUGUUCUCUGCGGGAACGGAGCGUCGGAAUUCAUCAGCGUUUGCCUCUGGAUUAAAUACUCACCACUUCCGAUCGGAGGAAUUUAUUGGCGCAGCCGAAUGAUACGAGGAUGCUGGAGAAGAUGGAAGUUAGGCAGUGGAGGCGAGGUUAAACCUCGGUGUCGGGGGAUUCUUGUGGCUGGUCGAGCAGAGCGGCGGCCGCGAUGGAGCCUGGGGCUCGGCGGCGAUGACUGGCGGAGGAGGAGUGAUCCUGGGGCCGGCAGAUUUGCUGCAGAGGAUCCGAAAAUCUUGAGUAUAGGUCACGUCGUUUGGAUGGGAAAAAAUCAACCCGGUCUCAUCAAUCUGCGUAUAAAUAACACGAGUUUACACUUUCAAAUUGCGUGUAAUACAUACGCCAAAGUCCACUUUUGCGUGCAUAUGACACGCCAAUCCUCCCCAUUAACUUCAGUGGAGAGCAGAUGCGUCCAAAUACCACGCAGCAUCUUCAGCGGCAGUGACGUCACCAGCGAGGCUCGGUCACGGCUCGGUUCACCUGAUGCGCGCACACCUUCACACAGUUAACGCCAGAUCACAUACUCCAGCAGCUCUUUUAAGAAGCCAUCUCUCUCUCUCUCUCUCUCUCUCUCUCUCUCUCUCAAUUCAAUUUAAUUCAAUAUGUGCUUUAUUGGCAUGACAAUUGUUACAAUGUAUUGCCAAAGCGUAGUGUUUACUUUGAAUCUAGAACAGAUAUAUAUGCAACAAAAACAUGCAUGUAGAUACAUUUAAAAAGUAGAACAAAUCAACAUUUUAGAAUUCCAUGAACAAUUUAAAAUUCAAUGUUGUGUGUGUGUGUGUGUGUGUCUCUCUCUCUCUCUCUCUCUCUCUCUCUCUCUCUCAGCUUUUCCGUUCCUAUUUUGCUGAUCUUAAAGAAGCUGAACAAGUUCUUCAAAGAUUCAACCCUUCACAGCUGAAAGGGAAGACCAAAGGAAGGCCUGUCAUGGGAUUUGACUUUGGCCAUCUUGUGUGUUACGAAGAAGACCAAAAGCUGCAAAGACAAACACUUCCAGUGGAUUUUUCACAGAUUACUCCAUCAGCUUUCCACAAUAUCAGCCCUUCCAAAAGCUUCCACAUCUCUCUCUCUCGUGUGGCAGAUCUGCUCUCAGUCCUUUACUGCAAACUUCCAAUAUUAGCAUGUAUACUUGUAUUAAUUUCUCCUGUACAGUUAACACUCCCGUCUCUACUGUGAGCACUGCACUCCUGUCACUAUCACUAUAUAUAUAUAUAUAUAUAUAUAUAUAUUCUUGCUCAAAAUGGUUGACUUUUAUCAUUUUAAAAUUAUAAUUAAUAUUAACCAUUAAUUUGUCUUGCAUUUAGUCACAAUAGUAGCAAACAAUGAUUACAGGAGAUAUAUUUUUAAAGGUAAUAAUUGUAAAAUAUUGAAAUAUUGUUUUUAAUUAUUUUUGCCUUUUUAUUUGUUUUGUUAAAGAGAAGAAAAUAUGCACUUUUCAAAUGGAGCCUUGCAUAUUAUUUUAUUAUCUUAUAACAUUUUCUGUAAACAAAUUCUCUUUUUAUUUUUGAAUAUAGACAAUGUUUUUUAAAGGGGUUUUCUGUUGCAUAUUUCUUAGUUACCUCCAUGCAAAUACAUUUUUAUAAUCAACUGCUUUUUUGUUUUCAUUUUUUUCUCCAUAGUGGCACAAACUGGAGAGAGAACUAUAUGGGAAAAGUUUGAUAUAUCAAUAAACGUUGUAA